AUUGAACGCUGGCGGCAUGCCUUACACAUGCAAGUCGAACGGCAGCACGGACUUCGGUCUGGUGGCGAGUGGCGAACGGGUGAGUAAUAUAUCGGAACAUACCUUGUAGUGGGGGAUAACUAUCCGAAAGGAUAGCUAAUACCGCAUACGCUCUAAGGAGGAAAGUGGGGGAUCGCAAGACCUCAUGCUAUAAGAGUGGCCGAUAUCUGAUUAGCUAGUUGGUGAGGUAAAGGCUCACCAAGGCAACGAUCAGUAGCGGGUCUUAGAGGACGAUCCGCCACACUGGAACUGAGACACGGUCCAGACUCCUACGGGAGGCAGCAGUGGGGAAUCUUGGACAAUGGGCGCAAGCCUGAUCCAGCAAUGCCGCGUGCGUGAAGAAGGCCUUCGGGUUGUGAAGCGCUUUCAGCGAGGAGGAAGGGGUGUGUGUUAAUAGUACACACCUUUGACGUUACUCGCAGAAGAAGCACCGGCUAACUCUGUGCCAGCAGCCGCGGUAACAC
rnacentral:rRNA from 1 species